CCUACGGGAGGCAGCAGUAGGGAAUCUUCCACAAUGGGCGAAAGCCUGAUGGAGCAACGCCGCGUGGGUGAAGAAGGUCUUCGGAUCGUAAAACCCUGUUGUUAGAGAAGAAAGUGCGUGAGAGUAACUGUUCACGUUUCGACGGUAUCUAACCAGAAAGCCACGGCUAACUACGUGCCAGCAGCCGCGGUAAUACGUAGGUGGCAAGCGUUAUCCGGAUUUAUUGGGCGUUAAGGGCACGCAGGCGGUCUUUUAAGUCUGAUGGGAAAGCCUUCGGCUUAACCGGAGUAGUGCAUUGGAAACUGGGAGACUUGAGGGCAGAAGAGGAGAGUGGAACUCCAUGUGUAGCGGUGAAAUGCGGAGAUAUAUGGAAGAACACCAGUGGCGAAAGCGGCUCUCUGGUCUGUAACUGACGCUGAGGUUCGAAAGCGUGGGUAGCAAACAGGAUUAGAGACCCUUGUAGUC
rnacentral:rRNA from 1 species